UUCCGUCAUGUUCUAUGCCUAAGAAUAGUCUUUACGGUUUGGGAAUGGUUGGACCCUUUUCGAGAAACUACUACUUCUUGUUUCUUACUACUCAUUCACUGUCCAUAUGCAUUUCCUUUGCUAAUCGUUCCUACAAAUUUACAAGGUCCUUUGAUGAAUGGAAUUCCAUUUUGUCCUAGCGAUGUUUGCCGGAGUUAUUGAUUGUCGUUAAUCAGCUCCCGAAAGGCAGUCAGCAGCAAAUUUCGAGAACUUGCGAACAUGGCAAGAUCAUAGACUAUAAUUAGGAGCUGAGAAAUUUGGUACCUUUUUCAAAUGGGUCAUUAUUUUUUCUGCAAUUCGCCUCGUCUCACUGUCCCCUUGAUGGGAAGCAGUAGCCAAAAUUGCAGGCAACGAUCUGUCCUGUGAUAUAUUGGACAUUGAUUCUUCCCCACCAUUGAGCAAGAACUUUUCCAUCAACCAAAGUGAUUUAUGCCAUACAGAUUCUUGCUUAUGGAUUCCCACCACAUUCAGGACAGGCUUAUUGUGUUAAAUUCGUUCAGCAGCCUCACACUUCUGUCCAGAUGCACUUCGUCAUCCACAGGCGUCCAAAUGCCUGACAAAGCUGCCUCAACUACCUCUUCCUUCUCAUUGUCUAAAAUGUCAAUAGCUUUUCAUUUGCCUUUGCAUGGACUAAACAGAAUGCGUUUUGUGAAGAGCAAGCCCCUUUAUGAACUGGGCAUUCUCGUAACUGACCCUUCUGUGAUGGACCUAGCGACAGAAGCUUGGAUUGUAUGUGAUCAGCAACAUUGUAGUCUUCUACGUACUUGGCCAUAGCGUUCUCUCUGAAAAGGGUUUAAUUCCAUCUAUGGUUGAUGGGUCCAUGGAUUCUAAACCUUGAAGUCAUGCAGACUGAUAUCCUAAGAUAGCGAAAAGAAAUUCCCAUUUUGCGGUGAUUUCAAACUCUCUCCCCGGGGCAAGCCCGUCCAGUAAGAGAUUCUUUCUGUCCUAAUUCCCUCUCUUAAGCAAAUGCUAACCACAAGAAAAAGAUUUUUUAAAAAAAUAUGUUCCUCGACGUGUUUUGUAUAUUACUAAACUAAUUGCACGGUGAAUAGUAUUCAUUUUUGUUUAUUACUUAAAUCAAGAAGCAGAAGCUUUGAUAUUGAUA